AACGUAGGACGCAAACGUUAUCCGGAGUUACUGGGCGUAAAGCGCGUGCAGGCGGACGAGAAAGUCUUCUGUGAAAGCUCCCGGCUAAACUGGGGAAGGUCAGAGGAGACUGCAGGGCUGGAGGGCGGUAGAGGAGCGUGGAAUUCCGAGUGUAGUGGUGAAAUGCGUAGAGAUUUGGAGGAACACCAGUGGCGAAGGCGGCUUUCUGGGCUGUAACUGACGCUGAGGCGCGAAAGCGUGGGGAGCAAACAGG
rnacentral:rRNA from 1 species